UACGAAGGGGGCGAGCGUUGUUCGGAAUUACUGGGCGUAAAGGGCUUGUAGGCGGCCAACUAAGUCCGACGUGAAAUCCCCAGGCUUAACCUGGGAACUGCGUCGGAUACUGGAUGGCUUGAAUUCGGGAGAGGGAUGCAGAAUUCCAGGUGUAGCGGUGAAAUGCGUAGAUAUCUGGAGGAAUACCGGUGGCGAAGGCGGCAUCCUGGACCGGCAUUGACGCUGAUGAGCGAAAGCCAGGGGAGCAAACGGG
rnacentral:rRNA from 1 species